CGCCCUUCAGAGGGGGACAACAGUUGGAAACGACUGCUAAUACCGCAUACGAUCCAAUCUCGGCAUCGAGAAUGGAUGAAAGGUGGCCUCUAUUUAUAAGCUAUCACUGAAGGAGGGGAUUGCGUCUGAUUAGCUAGUUGGAGGGGUAACGGCCCACCAAGGCGAUGAUCAGUAGCCGGUCUGAGAGGAUGAACGGCCACAUUGGGACUGAGACACGGCCCAG
rnacentral:rRNA from 1 species